rnacentral:rRNA from 1 species
AGUGAACGCUGGCGGUAGGCCUAACACAUGCAAGUCGAACGGCAGCACAGUAAGAGCUUGCUCUUACGGGUGGCGAGUGGCGGACGGGUGAGGAAUACAUCGGAAUCUACUUUUUCGUGGGGGAUAACGUAGGGAAACUUACGCUAAUACCGCAUACGACCUACGGGUGAAAGCAGGGGAUCUUCGGACCUUGCGCGAUUGAAUGAGCCGAUGUCGGAUUAGCUAGUUGGCGGGGUAAAGGCCCACCAAGGCGACGAUCCGUAGCUGGUCUGAGAGGAUGAUCAGCCACACUGGAACUGAGACACGGUCCAGACUCCUACGGGAGGCAGCAGUGGGGAAUAUUGGACAAAGGGCGCAAGCCUGAUCCAGCCAUACCGCGUGGGUGAAGAAGGCCUUCGGGUUGUAGAGCCCUUUUGUUGGGAAAGAAAAGCAGCAGGUUAAUACCCCGCUGUUCUGACGGUACCCAAAGAAUAAGCACCGGCUAACUUCGUG